GUGUCAGCCGCCGCGGUAAUACGGAGGGUGCAAGCGUUGUUCGGAAUUAUUGGGCGUAAAGCGCGUGUAGGCGGUUUGUUAAGUCUGAUGUGAAAGCCCUGGGCUCAACCCGGGAAGUGCAUUGGAAACUGGCAGACUUGAAUACGGGAGAGGGUAGUGGAAUUCCUAGUGUAGGAGUGAAAUCCGUAGAUAUUAGGAGGAACACCGGUGGCGAAGGCGGCUACCUGGCCCGAUAUUGACGCUGAGACGCGAAAGCGUGGGGAGCAAACAGGAUUAGAUACCCGGGUAGUCC
rnacentral:rRNA from 1 species